AUUGAACGCUGGCGGCAUGCCUUACACAUGCAAGUCGAACGGCAGCACGGGAGCAAUCCUGGUGGCGAGUGGCGAACGGGUGAGUAAUACAUCGGAACGUGCCCAGUAGUGGGGGAUAACUGCUCGAAAGAGCAGCUAAUACCGCAUACGACCUGAGGGUGAAAGCGGGGGAUCGCAAGACCUCGCGCUAUUGGAGCGGCCGAUGUCAGAUUAGCUAGUUGGUGGGGUAAAGGCCUACCAAGGCAACGAUCUGUAGUUGGUCUGAGAGGACGACCAGCCACACUGGGACUGAGACACGGCCCAGACUCCUACGGGAGGCAGCAGUGGGGAAUUCUGGACAAUGGGGGCAACCCUGAUCCAGCAAUGCCGCGUGCAGGAA
rnacentral:rRNA from 1 species